rnacentral:lncRNA from 1 species
CUUUUUUUGCUUUGACAAAAUAAUUUUGGGGUAUGAUUUUUCUCUUUUGAUUGCUUUAUAUGUGUUUGUAUUAUAACUUGUCUGUAUCUCCUGAUUCCAAAGUGAAAGAACAAUGGGUUUUGCCUUCCAGGUUACUAGCAUUCUCAAUUUAAUCUUUCAGGGACUGUUAUUUGCUAGUCACACUCGGAUGUGUGAUUGUCAGCUUUAUAUCUCAAAGAGCGUUCCCUGCAAUUCAGGAGUAAGAAUGCAGUUCAGGAGCAGAAUCAGGAAAGCUCCUGCCUCUAUGAAGCAUGUCAGAGUAAUUUUGUAACCUAAAUUAAGAUAUGCUGGAAUACCUAGAAUUCCUUUUUUGAAGUUCUAAACCACACCACUGUAAAACUGAAAACACCAGAAGAAAUAAGAAAUGGAAGUAUGGCAGAAAAUCCAAUUGGUGAUUAGGUAGGAAAGUUUUCAUUCAAAAGAAAAAAACAUAUUUUUUGCAAUUAGAACCAAUCAGAUAUGGAGAAAAGAGAUGCCCAAUUUCAGGAUAAUGGGAGUUUCUGAAUUUGAGCCUCCAGCAAAUAAAGCAGACAAUUAAUAGAAAGACAUAAAUUAAGUUGUUGUCUUGAAAUAAAAUCAGAAUUCAAACUUCAGAAUAAGUAAGCACAUUAUGUUCUAGAAAAGAUGAACAUAAAAUGAG